rnacentral:rRNA from 1 species
CCUACGGGUGGCAGCAGUGGGGAAUAUUGCACAAUGGGGGAAACCCUGAUGCAGCGACGCCGCGUGAGUGAAGAAGUAACUCUGUAUGUAAAGCUCUAUCAGUAGGGAAGAAAAUGACGGUACCUUAGGAAUAUGCCCCGGCUAACUACGUGCCAGCAGCCGCGGUAAUACGCAGGGGGCAAGCGUUAUCCGGAUUUACUGGGUGUAAAGGGAGCGUAGGCGGGAGUGUAAGUCUGGAGUGAAAGGCGGGGGCUUAAACCCCGGACUGCCGUGGAAACUGUGCGGCUGGAGUGCAGGAGAGGUAAGCGGAAUUCGUGGUGUAGCGGUGAAAUGCGUAGAUAUUAGGAGGAACGCCGGUGGCGAAGGCGGCUUACUGGACUGUAACUGACGUUGAGGCUCGAAAGCGUGGGGAGCGAACAGGAUUAGAUACCCUAGUAGUC